GGAGGGGCCAUCAGCUGAGGUGGGGUGUCUGCAGGAGGGGCCGUUACUCAGCGAGGUCUGUGGGAGGGGCCAUCAGCUCAGGAAGAUCAACUUUUAUCGUAUGCAUUUCAGGAUACACAAUGGACAUCAGCAGGUGUUUCCUGAAAUAUUUUUUGUGUAGUAAUUUUUAGAGGUAUGUACUUCCUGUGAUUUUAAAACAUAAUG
rnacentral:lncRNA from 1 species